UAGAAAAGUGGUGUAGAGGAAGCACUCAGAGUUUUGAUCUUCUGUGGAAGGGUUCAAUUCCCUUGUUUCUAA
rnacentral:tRNA from 1 species